GAUGAACGCUGGCGGCGUGCUUAACACAUGCAAGUCGAACGAUGAAGCCCAGCUUGCUGGGUGGAUUAGUGGCGAACGUGUGAGUAACACGUGAGUAACCUGCCCUUAACUCUGGGAUAAGCCUGGGAAACUGGGUCUAAUACCGGAUAGGAGCGUCCACCGCAUGGUGGGUGUUGGAAAGAUUUAUCGGUUUUGGUUGGACUCGCGGCCUAUCAGCUUGUUGGUGAGGUAUUGGCUCACCAAGGCGACGACGGGUAGCCGGCCUGAGAGGGUGACCGGCCACACUGGGACUGAGACACGGCCCAGACUCCUACGGGAGGCAGCAGUGGGGAAUAUUGCACAAUGGGCGCAAGCCUGAUGCAGCGACGCCGCGUGAGGGAUGACGGCCUUCGGGUUGUAAACCUCUUUCAGUAGGGAAGAAGCGAAAGUGACGGUACCUGCAGAAGAAGCACCGGCUAACUACGUG
rnacentral:rRNA from 1 species